rnacentral:misc_RNA from 1 species
GAAAUGCGAUAAGUAAUGUGAAUUGCAGAAUUCAGUGAAUCAUCGAAUCUUUGAACGCACAUUGCGCCCGCCAGUAUUCUGGCGGGCAUGCCUGUCCGAGCGUCAUUUCAACCAUCAAGCCCCCGGGCUUGUGUUGGGGACCUGCGGCUGCCCGCAGGCCCUGAAAACCAAUGGCGGGCUCGCUGUCACACCGAGCGUAGUAGCAAUCACCUCGCUCAGGGCGUGCUGCGGGUUCCGGCCGUUAAACAGCCUUACAAAACCCAAGGUUGACCUCGGAUCAGGUAGGAAGACCCGCUGAACUUAAGC